rnacentral:rRNA from 1 species
GAUGAACGCUGGCGGCGUGCCUAAUACAUGCAAGUCGAGCGAAGCGGGGACGGGUGAGUAACACGUGGAUAACCUCCUAUAAGACUGGGAUAACUUCGGGAAACCGGAGCUAAACCGGAUACUUAUAGAUGGAUCCGCGCUGCAUUAGCUAGUUGGUAAGGUAACGGCUUACCAAGGCAACGAUGCAUAGCCGACCUGGGAGGGGUAUCGGCCACACUGGAAAUUGGGACCCGUCCAGAACCCUUAGGGAGGCCGCAGUAGGGAAACUUCCGCAAUGGGGGGAAACCUGACCGAGCAACGCCGGGGGAGUGAAGAAGGUUUUCGGAGCGUAAAGCUCUGUUCUUAAGGAAGCGGUACUUAACCAGAAAGGGACGGCUAACUACGUGCCAGCAGCCGCGGUAAUUC